GGAAGUAAAAGCGUAACAAGGUUUCCGUAGGUGAACCUGCGGAAGGAUCAUUAUUGUAUAACCGAGGUGCGAGGGCUGUCGCUGACCCGAAAGGUCGUGCACGCCCGAGUGCCUUCACACACAUCCAUCUCACCCCUAUGUGCACCACCGCGUGGGUCCCCCUUUGGCUUGUUCGGAGGGGGGCUUACGUUUUCACACAAACUUUGUAUGCAGUGUAGAAUGUAUUUUUUGUUUUUGCGAUCACGCAAUCAAUACAACUUUCAACAACGGAUCUCUUGGCUCUC
rnacentral:misc_RNA from 1 species